rnacentral:rRNA from 1 species
UACAUGUGGGGCAAGCGUUGUUCGGAAUUACUGGGCCUAAAGGGUGCGUAGGCGGCAUGCCAAGUCAGGGGUGAAAGGUUUCGGCCCAACCGGGACAGUGCCUUUGAUACUGGCGUGCUUGAGUGCGUGAGGGGUGACUGGAACGAGUGGUGUAGCGGUGAAAUGCGUAGAUAUCACUCGGAAGGCCAACGGCGAAGGCAGGUCACUGGUACGCAACUGACGCUGAGGCACGAAAGCGUGGGGAGCAAACAGG